rnacentral:rRNA from 1 species
CCCGGAGGGAACAAGUGUUAUUCGUUUUGAUGGGUGUAAAAAGCGCUUAGAUGGUAUAUUAUGUUUUGUUGAAAAAGUAAGAUGAUGUUCUUAAUAGACUUUGUACUGAUAUACUAGAGUUGUUAUAAUUUGGCAGUAUUUUAAAUGGAAGCUGAAAUUUGGAGAUAUUUUUAGGACUAGCAAUAGACGGAGGUAGUAUUUAAGGUAUGACUGACAUUGAUGCGCGAAAGCUUAGUAUCAAAUAGG